ensembl:snRNA
GGGAAACAAUGAAGGACUUUGGAGGUUAGCACUCCCCUUUACAAGGAUGGAAGAGGCCCUUGGGCCUAAAAACAUGCAGACGGUUAAGGCAUUGCUGCCUACUUUGUGGCAUCUAACUGGGGAGGAGU